rnacentral:tRNA from 1 species
AGAGUUGUGGCUCAGUGGUAGAGCACUUGCCUAGCAUGUGUGAGGCCUUGGGUUCAAUUCUCAGCACUG